GAUGAACGACUGGCGGCGUGCCUAACACAUGCAAGUCGAGCGGUAUAUAGUGGAAUGAAACUUCGGUCGAGUGAAGCUAUAGAGAGCGGCGGACGGGUGAGUAACGCGUAGGCAACCUGCCCCAUACAGAGGGAUAGCCUCGGGAAACCGGGAUUAAAACCUCAUAACGCGAGGAGUUCACAUGGACUUCUCGCCAAAGAUUCAUCGGUAUGGGAUGGGCCUGCGUCUGAUUAGCUAGUUGGUGAGGUAACGGCUCACCAAGGCGACGAUCAGUAGCCGACCUGAGAGGGUAAUCGGCCACAUUGGAACUGAGACACGGUCCAAACUCCUACGGGAGGCAGCAGUGGGGAAUAUUGCACAAUGGGCGAAAGCCUGAUGCAGCAACGCCGCGUGAGCGAUGAAGGCCUUUGGGUCGUAAAGCUCUUUCGGACCGGAAGAAAUCGCCGCCUCUAACAUAGGCGGUGGAUGACGGU
rnacentral:rRNA from 1 species